UACAGAGGUGGCAAGCGUUGUUCGGAAUUACUGGGCGUAAAGGGCGCGUAGGCGGUCCGAUAAGUCCCGUGUGAAAGCCCCGGGCUCAACCUGGGAACUGCAUCCGAAACUGCCUUGCUCGAGUAUGGGAGAGGGAAGUGGAAUUUCCGGUGUAGCGGUGAAAUGCGUAGAUAUCGGAAGGAACAUCAGUGGCGAAGGCGACUUCCUGGACCAAUACUGACGCUCAGGUGCGAAAGCGUGGGGAGCAAACAGG
rnacentral:rRNA from 1 species